rnacentral:misc_RNA from 1 species
CAAAUCUGAUAUUUUAAAUUAUUACAAUAAUAAACUGAAUAUAUUUUUAAUAAUAUCAUUUUCUAUAUUUUAAUUCACAAACUGGCAUCUCAUGCCUGUUCUUGGUGAUACGUACGUAUGAUGAAACUGUUCAAUCUAGACUAUGUCUAUCAUGUUAACAUGGCAAAUAGAUACAAUAGGCACAUCCCAAGUGUAUAUGGAUCAACCUAGACAAAAAUUUCUCAUUCAACAAACCACACCAGCCCAAACACAAAACAUCAUCAAUAUGCGUUGGUAGGUAACAGCUCCCUUGUCUUAUAAACAAGAUUUGGCUGUGUUGGAAAACCCUUUAGGAUUAUUUAUCUCUAUCUUGAAUGCACAAGGAGUGACCUUGGUACUCUAUGACUGCGCAAUAUCGAAUAGUUGCCUGAGAAUCUUCAUUUCCUAACAAAAUCAGGCUGAUUAGUGACGGAUCUCACCCAUGCCCAUUUAUGGUCCAUUACGUUAACUUCAUUCUUAGCUUCUGCAACUUCUUUCAAUGGGAUAUAAGCAUAGUUCCCAUUAAUAGGUCCACACACAAAUCCAGUGUAACCUGCCAUAACCCCAUGAAUUGCUGAAUGUGCAAGAAGAGUGCAAUAUAGAUUAUCCAUGGCAUUUGCAGGGACGGCACGUAUCAUAUACGUGGGAUCGAUAUACUUCACGGUGAAUAAAUCAUUUGGGUGGUCUCUAGACCACCAGUUCCUCAGCUCUGACUUCAACCAAGCACCAACAUCUAAGAAAACUGGGUUGCCUGAUUCAUCCCUCUCUUCUUUCUGGGCAUCUGUUCUUGGUAUCAUAUCCUGUCCUGCCCCCUCUGCAACAACCAGAACUGCAUGACCAUUUUCUUUUAAUCUCUUCUCAAGAAAUUCAAACAGCCCUCCUUUUCCUUCCAGAUAAAAUUCAGUUUCAGGAAUUAAACAGCAAUCCACAUCACGACUGCUCAACGUUGCAUAGAGGGCUAUAUGACCCGUGCUUCGACCCAUUAGCUUCACCAGGCCGAUACCAUUAACUGCACUCUCAGCCUCCACAUAAGCUGCAUUAAUUGCUUGUUGUGCCAUCUCCACAGCUGUCUGGAAUCCAAAUGAUUUGUCAAUAAUGCCUACAUCAUUGUCAACUGUUUUGGGAAUUGCAGCAACUCCAAUGUUCAGUUUCCGGCGACAAAUUUCAUCAAAUAUCUUUACAGCCCCACGCAAUGUUCCAUCUCCACCAAUGAUAUAGACCUGAUUAAAGCCCCGACUUUGAAUGGAAUCAACAAUCUUAUGGAGAUCAAAGCCACCCCUGGAGGUCUCCAAAACUGUACCACCCUUCUUAUGCCAGUCAUGGACAAGCUUCGGAUUCAGCUCAGUCGGUUCUCUUGAAUAGAAUCCUCUGUACCCAGCAACUAUCCCAUAUAUCUGACGCACCCCAUAUAGUUCCCACAGCCCAACCACCAGCUCCCUGAUCACCGUAUUCAUCCCAGGGCAGAGUCCCCCACAGGUAACAAUAGCUACCCGAGUGCUGCUUGGAUCAAAGAAGAUUUGCUGGCGUGGGCCAGCCCGAUGGUAGACAAACUGGGAAGCACCAGAAGAGAAGGUACCAGAAAGGUCGAUGAUAAUCUGGCGGAGGAUGAUGUCUGAGUGGGUAAGGUAGAAGCCAUCAGUUGGGUGGUAGAAAGGGUUGUUAUCUAAUUGGUUCGUGUAGGAUUUGAGAUCUGGCAAGUAGUCAGUUAAAUGGGGAGGUUUUUGGAGUUUAAAUGGGCAAGAUGAAAAGGAUUCUUCUGAAUUUUGGGUGGUAGUAGUGGGAUUGGUGGAUUCGGGCAAAGAAACCGCCAUGUCUACGGCGGCGAAGUAGCACUGUGGGG